CUGCAAAGACACAACCCCAGAUACCCUUUGUGAACUUAUUUUAUAUCGUUGCCUCGGCGCUGAGCUGGGGGCUUCUUUCUAAGAAGCUCUCCCAUCCUCUCUCAGGAAGAUGGAGCAAGCCCGCCGGCGGCCCUCUUAAACUCUUGUUUUUAUUACGUAUCUCUUCUGAGUUAUUCAAAACAAAAUGAAUCAAAACUUUCAACAACGGAUCUCUUGGUUCUGGCAUCGAUGAAGAACGCAGCGAAAUGCGAUAAGUAAUGUGAAUUGCAGAAUUCAGUGAAUCAUCGAAUCUUUGAACGCACAUUGCGCCCGCUGGAAUUCCAGCGGGCAUGCCUGUUCGAGCGUCAUUUCACCCCUCAAGCCUUGCUUGGUGUUGGAGCACUACCGCUUUUUCCAAAAGUGGUAGGCUCUGAAAUUCAGUGGCGGGCUCGCUAAGACUCUGAGCGUAGUAGUUUAUCACCUCGCUUUGGAAGGAUUAGCGGUGCUCUUGCCGUAAAACCCCCCAACUUCUGAAUUUUGACCUCGGAUCAGGUAGGAAUACCCGC
rnacentral:rRNA from 1 species